GACGAACGCUGGCGGCGCGCUUAACACAUGCAAGUCGAACGGAAAGGCCUGCUUUCCCUUGUGGAUUGCGGGUACUCGAGUGGCGAACGGGUGAGUAACACGUGAGUGAUCUGCCCCCAACUUGGGUAUAAGCCUGGGAAACUGGGUCUAAUUCCCGAUAGGACUGCAGGGUGGUGCCUGUGGUGGAAAACGAUUUUCUAGUGGUUGGGGAUGAGCCCGCGGCCUAUCAGCUUGUUGGUGGGGUAAUGGCCUACCAAGGCGGCGACGGGUAGCCGGCCCGAGAGGGUGGACGGCCACAUUGGGACUGAGAUACGGCCCAGACUCCUACGGGAGGCAGCAGUGGGGAAUAUUGCACAAUGGGCGGAAGCCUGAUGCAGCGACGCCGCGUGGGGGAUGACGGCCUUCGGGUUGUAAACUCCUUUCGACCGCGAGGAAGCCACCUGGUUGGAAGGGUGGUGACGGUAGUGGUAGAAGAAGCACCGGCUAACUACGUG
rnacentral:rRNA from 1 species